rnacentral:rRNA from 1 species
UACGUAGGGUGCAAGCGUUGUCCGGAAUUAUUGGGCGUAAAGAGCUCGUAGGCGGCUUGUCGCGUCGACUGUGAAAACCCGCGGCUCAACCGCGGGCCUGCAGCCGAUACGGGCAGGCUAGAGUUCGGUAGGGGAGACUGGAAUUCCUGGUGUAGCGGUGAAAUGCGUAGAUAUCUGGAGGAACACCGGUGGCGAAGGCGGCGUCCUGGACCAACACUGACACUGAUGAGCGAAAGCCAGGGGAGCAAACGGG